rfam:Ovis aries breed Texel chromosome 3, whole genome shotgun sequence.
UAGUUGAGGUUAAAACGUCUGCCUGCAAUGCAGGAGACCUGGGUUCGAUCCCUG